ACGCCGGACUUCAACUCGCACACUGGGAAAAGACGAAUAACAAAUCGCUCGUCAUUGACCACCAUCAGAGAGAGGAGCUCCUAGCAAAUUUUAAAGAGGCAAUCCGCAUCCCCACCGUGUCAUUCUCAAAUACAGAAAGCAACACCACUGCGCUGCAUGAAUUUGACAGAUUCCUCCGAAAAGGUAAACCUGCCAGUAAAACGUGCUUAAAGUAACUUUCUUUUAUAUAUAAUGUGCUCAACGUGGAACUAGCUGAUGGCUGUAACUCUAAACGUUAAUGUAGUUUUUGUAUGUCAAACUUGUAGAGCGCUAAUAAAUGGAUAAAGACGCAGUUAAUGUUUGCUGUGCAGAUGUACUUUGUUCCGUACACCUUAUUCAGAAUUAACCUUUCCACGUCUUGCUGAGCCAAGGUAUGUCGAAACGCUACACCGAGAUGCACGUGGUUCAAAACACUCAAGUCACAUGACCCAUGACCCUUUGUCGACCAAGAGCACCUGGCUGCAGCCACUGUGGAGCUAACAGUCUAAAAAACUUAAGGAAUUAUUCACUAAUGCUUUCCCCCCAUAUAGAUCAAAUCCAAAUUCCAUUUCACAACCGUUCUCCUGUGAUCAAAAGAAAGAAAUCAGAGCAAAUUACCUAAAACUUCCCAUUCCUCCAAAAGCUAAGGAGGUCCAUUAUGAAAUACUCCCAGGCGUUUACCGUUCCAAAGAAUUUCUCAGACAUCGUUUUCCUAUUGAUAAUAAGUCUUGUUCUUUCUGUAAUGCGAAUAUUGAUUCGACAGAACUUUUAUUUUACGAAUGUAUAUACUGUAAAGCCCCGUGGGACGAUGUGCACUACUGGCUUUUCCCAAAGAUUCCAAACUUACUUGAAUUUUCUAAAAAUGAUAUUAUUUUUGAAUCUCAAAGAAAAGAAAAGAAACUUGAAAAUGUCUUAAAUGUGAUAAUUAUUAUGGGUUCAUUCAUAAAUGUCGAUUUCUGAAAACUAAGCCAUCCUUUUUCACUUUUCACGAAGAACUCUGCCUCUUCUUCUCAUCUGCAAAGUUUAUGGACAAAAAACAAGCUGUGGAUCUGCAUCACAUGGUCAAUGAACUAAAGCUUUUAGAAAACCCCUAGGUUAUAAUUGUAUUUUUUGUCUUUUAAUUUUCAAUUUAAUUUUUAUUAAUUUUACUUAUUUAUUUCUUUAGUUACUUAUGUUUAUAUUAUUUUCAUUAUCUGUCUUUUAUAUUUUGAAAUACAGGCUGUUCUGGUAUUAUCUCAAGUUGGAAAAAGUCUCUAAAAUGUUGCCAUAUUUGUUGUACUUGUUACAUUUGUUUAAUUAAUAAAAAACAAACAAACAAAAAAAAUUGCGGAGCUCCACAGUAACCGGAAACAUGUGACUUCAAAUUUGAACACAGUUACGUUGCACAAGCCGUGUCUCAAUAUGUGCGCUUGUGUGUACACAAUACAUAUAAAAAGUUUGAAAUAUUACUCUUUCUGGGUCACAAAAUAAACUUUUAGGACAUCAGGUGAGAAUGUAGCUUUGUAAACUUCAAAUAUCUGCUCGAUUUAUCAAGACAUCACACAUUUGCCAAAGUGGGACGACGUUUUCGGAGACGUCUGUUACCCAUCAGCUUGAUAGCUGACCUGGGAGGUCAAGGCUCACUAGACCGGGCGACAAUAGCGGACAUCAUUUUCAAACCCCCCCUGUGGUCUUUCGCUACUCAAGUUAAACAUGAUAUUUAAGUCAAUUAGAUCAUUUAAAAAUGUUAUUGUUUGUUUUUUGUCAGUGUUUCAUUUGUUCCUGAGCUAAUCAGUUUGGCUCAGAUUAAGCUUCAUAACUGGACUGUUUUAUUUAAUACUGAAGUCUUACUUGUAGAGCUGUCAGUAUACUUUAAAUUUCACCUGUUAUACCGCCUGAUGUAAAAUGUUCUGUUCUUUUUUAAACAGCUGACUCUGAAUUAAAUAUAACAUUAAAAAUAUUUAAAUUCAAGAGGAAACAUUUUCACUGGGAGCAAAAACAACAUGUUAAUGCGUGGAGAUCCUGACGGCUGCUCCAAAAAUGAUCCGAUUAUAUUUUAAAUAUUUGUUCAAUUCUCUUCCAAACCUCAGCUGUCUAUUGUAAGGGUCAGUGUCUAUUAAAAUAAAUAUAAAAGUGUUCUAACAUCUCACCUCUUUCUUAUUAUUCAGGCAUACAUGUAUACUAUUUUUAUUAAUAGAGAGAUUAAGCUUGUGUUUUCAUACAUGCAGUAAUUGUGCUUAACUGCAUGAAGCUCUUUAGACAUUAUGGAACAGAUCAUACAUAAAAGCGAAUUUUGCCAGAGUGCUUAAGAUACUUUUUAAAAAUUAUCUUUAAAAAACAAAAAAAGAGAGAAGAUCAAAAACAUAAUGUGUAAUUUCCAUUGUAAAUAUUAAUCACAGUUAAAUUAAGAGGGGAUGGCAGUAAAAACUCCGGAACGGUGAUGUCAUCUAGUAUGCUGCUGUUCUAAUAGACUAUGUGCACCUUAGCAUAUGCUACUUCCGUUGGGGAAACUCCUGUAGGGCGCUUCGUUUCCGGUGUGAUAUUCGCAUCUUGUUUAUUUUCGGGUUUUCCAAAACAAGCCAAGCGGCGAUUUACAUUUCUCAAGGUGUCUUGGGCAUUUACUGAAUAUAUCUGUAGAUGAUGUUCAUCGACUUGUUGAUAUUUUUCCCUCGCGCCUCAGAGCAAAAGAGAGAAGAGAUUGAAAUUUCUUAGUAUUUGUAUAUAGAGUUCCCUCAUUUAUCGCGGGUGUUGUUCUAAAAAUAACCAGCGAUAGGUGAAAUCUGCGAAGUAGCCAGCUUUAUUUUUUACAAUUUUUUUU